UACGUAGGGAGCAAGCGUUGUUCGGAUUUACUGGGCGUAAAGGGCGCGUAGGCGGGCUAUCAAGUCCGGGGUGAAAUCCUCCAGCUCAACUGGAGAACGGCCUCGGAUACUGAUGGUCUCGAGGGGGAUAGGGGCACACGGAACUGUGGGUGGAGCGGUGAAAUGCGUUGAUAUCCAUAGGAACUCCGGUGGCGAAAGCGGCGACCUGGGACAAUACUGACGCUGAGGUGCGAAAGCGUGGGGAGCAAACAGG
rnacentral:rRNA from 1 species